CGCUUUUAAACGCGUGCUUUUCUAAACGAGAUUUUGUGGUGAUCGUGUUGUAUAAUCGCAUAAAGAUGUUGAAACGGAAAGCACCAACAGUUGAAUCCGAAACUGCAAAGA